rnacentral:rRNA from 1 species
UACGUAGGGGGCAAGCGUUGUUCGGAUUCAUUGGGCGUAAAGGGUGUGUAGGUGGCGCGCUAAGUCGGGUGUGAAAUUUCGGAGCUUAACUCCGAAACUGCAUUCGAUACUGGCGUGCUUGAGGACUGGAGAGGAGACUGGAAUUUACGGUGUAGCAGUGAAAUGCGUAGAUAUCGUAAGGAAGACCAGUGGCGAAAGGCGGGUCUCUGGACAGUUCCUGACACUGAGACACGAAGGCCAGGGGAGCAAACGGG